rfam:Triticum aestivum genome assembly, contig: Triticum_aestivum_CS42_TGACv1_scaffold_129437_2BL
CAUAUCCUACCUCCGUCCCAAAAUUCUUGUCUUAGGUUUAUCUAGAUACGGAUGUAUCUAACACUAAAACAUGAAUAGAUACAUCCCGUAUGUAGACAAAUCUAAGACAAGAAUUUUGGGACGGAGGGAGUAUUUA